GAAAAGUCUGACUGGCCAUGGCAAAUGAUAAAAUAAUUAAACACGCUUGGAGAGGUACGUGGAGGCCAUAUCGAAGACUCUAAGGUAAUGUUGUGGUUGGUAUUCGAUGUUUAUUUCGUUGUUAAUUCCGGCGUUACGCUUCGGAGCUUUGCGUGGCUGAACAGAUAAAUUACACUUCCCUCUACUAACAAAAUAUUCUAUUUGCCGGAUAUUCUUCCAAGGUGAUGACUGUGACUGUGACUAGGAAUAAGCAGAGACCACCAGUAGCAAAAAUAUCCGAGAUAAA